AAUCAUCUGUGCUAGCCCGCAUGGCUCAUACAUUGAAGGCACCAAGACCAUGUCUGCAGCAGCAUAUAGCAUAUGCGACAGCUCCUCGCUGUACAUCAAAAGGAUACGGAUAUUGGAGCCCUUGUUAUGCAGUUCUGCUAAACCUUCAAAUUCUCUCUCAACUCGAUCAUCUGAAGCCCUCCCCAAAACAACCAUCUGUCCACCAAGUUCUUCAACGUGCUUGAUCGCAUGAGUGAUGAGAUGGAGACCUUUUUGAGCAACCAAUCUAGUAAUGCAGACAACCAAAGGUUUUUGAUCAGCCACAGAAAUAGGAAGACCAAGUCCCUUUUGAACAAAUUUUUUUGCAUAUCCUCUUCCCUUCAGUUUU
rnacentral:misc_RNA from 1 species